ensembl:lncRNA
GGAAUCUAUAAUAUAUAUUUACAUUAUUAUUACUGCAGAAGUCUAUUAUUUAUAUAUUUAUAUCAUCAUUACUGUAGGAAUAUAUUAUUGAUUUAUAUUUAUUACUGUUUGUGCCGAGGAGCUGCAGUGAUGAAGAGUUGAUUAGAAGUGAACCAGUGUUUCCUACAACACGUCAUCGACCUCCUAAAGUUCAGCUCCGUUUCCAGUUCAGGAGGAGAUGAAUCAGGUUGCUUCGCUGCUUUCUGUUUUAUGUUCCGCUUGUUUUGAAUUCCGUCACAAAUUAAAGUUUCAUCGAAUAAUCGUGUAAAAGCUCCUCAGCAGCACAUUAAACAGCUGGAACGUCUCCAAGGAGAAGCAGCUCGUUGUUUGUAAGGUUUAAAAUGAAUCCGAGCAGCUUCUCUUCUGAAGACUGAAGCCUUUUCUAAUCUUAAAGACCUGAUUCAGCAGCAAGAUGUCUUCAGAUUCUGCAGCAGGAACAAAAGGAAGCCAGAUGAAAACAGAUGAUUUCUAUAUAUAUUUUAAGGCACUCUGUGAGGCGAUGGAACGUGUGAUAGCGGCUUCAUAAAGAGCUCCGGUUGGUUCCACUCUGCAGGAGCUUCUGGACCGAUAAGAACCAGAUCUGAGGCCGGGAGGACGAGAGGUUUUCCUGCUUAUGCCAGCAGGUUGGAAGUGAUUAUGUUGCUGUCUGCUGGUGACGGUGUGUAUGGAGGCCUGACAGCAGCCAGCGGCUCUGCUCAUUAAUGCACUGUACUGUUGUCAACUAAAGCCUGACAUGCCCUUUACCAUCCCACUGCAGGCACAGCAGCUAACGCUCUGCUUUUGUCAUAUUUUAAUAUUUCAUCACAUUCAGCUGCUCUGCUCCAGCCGCUACGUUACACAGUUACACACUCCUGUUUAUUAAAAUCUCAUCAUUUCUACACAAAGCUCACCUUCAUUAGAGCUAAUGAGGUGAGGAGCAUUCAUUUCACAUCUCAGACCACCUUAAAAAAACGAGACCACGACAAAAAUGAGACACAAAACGACAAAAACAAGACAAUAAAUGACAAAAAUGAGGCACUAAAUGACAAAAUAAGACACUAAACGACAAAAACGAGACACAACGACAAUUAAUUGACAAUGACAAUAUAUUAAACAGGAAUAACCAGGAAUUACAGCUGAUCUACAGCAUUAAAAAAUAAAUAUUAAACUUUCAAAUCAAAAAAUUAUAAAACUCUAAUAAUAAAAAUAAAAGUGGUAAAAAUCCAUUAUAUUGCUGUAAAUGUAAUACUGGCCAAAUCUGUUUUAUUUAGAGUUGAACCAUAAAUGAACAGAAACUAUUUUCUGUUUUUUAGUUACACUUGAGUUACACUAAGUGAUAUUUGCCAUUUUUUUUUGGAUCUAUUAUUUAGAGCACAGACCACUUUGCUGAUGUUUAUUACUUUUAAUUUUUUAUCAUGGAUUUAAAUUUUAAAGAAAACUUAAAGCUCACAGCAGCUGUUUAUGUUUGAUGUGUUGUUCUAAUGGAAUUAAAGCUAAAAACCGACAUUAUCCUGGAUUUACAGCGUCAUAGUUCUGGUGUUUCUGACUGUAUUUACAGCCUUUAAGUGUCACAUUUUAAAGCAGAGUUCCUGUGAAUCUAAUUAAAGCAGUGAAUGUGAUGAAGUCCCUGAUGGCCGAACGGAGCCGUCUUUACCCUGCAGUCACUCCAUCAGCUUAAUUACUUCCACUCAGAAUUUAUCAAGUAAUUUGACUGAGUUUCAAUUAAAAUCCAGCCUGUGAACGUUCCGGCGUUCCUCAGCUGAUCUCUGUUAUUCCAGCAGGAGAUGUGAAGGUUUGAGCUGUUUGCUGGGCAGAAGAACUAAUCCUCCGACUAGAAAGGUCUGCGUAACCUUUCUAACACAAUUUCACAAAAGACUGCUCUGUUUGUUCUGCUCGCAGAAAUAAAGCUAAU